rnacentral:lncRNA from 1 species
CUUUCUCGUCUUUGUUCAGGGGUCAAUCCGUCAUUCUUAGGUUGCUUGGAUUUGUGAUUUUCCCUGGCUUGAGCCCUUUCACCAUCUCUAUCUCUCUGGUUCCCGCAUUAGCUUAAGUUAAGGUCAAAACAGGUAGGGAUCGAAUUAAAGUAUGGCAACGUCGAACCAAAAAGGAAAAAAAAUCUAGUCUUUGGACCCCAAAGCUGAAGAUAAAAUCUCAAGUUUACGCAUAUUGAAAAUUUAAACUAGAUGAUUCAACCUUUAAAGUUCUUAGCACCGAAUUCAAUCGUACCUUCUAAACUGUGGAUUCAGAAUUUAAUAUUCACUGAUAUUUUAGUAACUUAAACAAAAAUAUGCAUGAAUGUCAAAAGAAUCAUAUUCAUGGUCAAUUAAUAGUACGAGAGAUUACACUUUAAAAAAGGCUCUAUUUUUAGAUCCUUCCCCCAAUUUCUAGGCAAUCUAACAAAGGAUAAAUAAACUUGUACAUGAAUAAGCGCCAAAAGAAAAAAUAAGAGCUUGCCCCAAAAAAAGUUCUAUCUUCAGACUCUUACCCAAUUCUAGGCAAACAAUAUGAAAGAAUGGGCUAAAAAAUAAUACGAGAGCUUGCACUAGAAAAAUCUCUACUUCUUUUACCCACCAAACACCCCCCCCCCCCGGAAAAAAAAUCUAGGAAACCAAACAAAUGAAAAAAGAAAGAGCCUUGUUAAUGAAAAGGGAAAGAAAAAAACGAUGAAAAUUAGCAUGAAGAAAAUCAGAGAAAAGAAACAUAUCAGAAGGAUAUGAGACAUUCCCAAUUCUCCAACAGCCAAACAAGAUUAAAUGGAUAAAUAGCUCUAUACAAGAUCCUGGAAACAAAACAAUAACCAAAAAAGGGGGGGGGGGGGGGAGGGAAAUUUUAGAGGAAAAAAAAAUCACCGAAUUACACCCUAACAGAACCGUGUAAAUGAGAAGGGGGUUUAACUGAUUGAGCUUGGAUUAGGAUUUGUUUGCUUAAGAUCGACCUUAAAAUUUGAGCACUGAGCAGAAUGAUAUUAACUUGGGUUGUCAGAAUUGGAAAUGC